GAAACAGUGGUUCCAAAUGGCACAACCCACUGACUCUUAAUCAGUGGGUUCCCGGUUCAAGUCCGGGGGGGUGCACCA
rnacentral:tRNA from 1 species